rnacentral:rRNA from 1 species
AUUGAACGCUGGCGGAAUGCUUUACACAUGCAAGUCGAACGGCAGCACGGGGCAACCUGGUGGCGAGUGGCGAACGGGUGAGUAAUACAUCGGAACGUGCCCAAUCGUGGGGGAUAACGUAGCGAAAGUUACGCUAAUACCGCAUACGAUCUACGGAUGAAAGCGGGGGAUCGCAAGACCUCGCGCGAGUGGAGCGGCCGAUGUCAGAUUAGGUAGUUGGUGGGGUAAAGGCUCACCAAGCCAACGAUCUGUAGCUGGUCUGAGAGGACGACCAGCCACACUGGAACUGAGACACGGUCCAGACUCCUACGGGAGGCAGCAGUGGGGAAUUUUGGACAAUGGGCGCAAGCCUGAUCCAGCCAUUCCGCGUGCAGGAUGAAGCCUUCGGUUGUAACUAGCUUUGUUACGUAACGAAACGGACGAGCGUCUAAUACAGUUUAGUCUAAUAGACGGUACCGUAAGAAACUAAGACAACCGGCGUAACUACGUAGCCACGCAGCCGACC